rnacentral:lncRNA from 1 species
UUAUUCGAGUUCGUUCUUCUCCAUAUGGAGAAAUACAUUAUCUUAUGAUGCUUAUUUCCUUGAUAUUUUUCAAGGAAACUUAUCUAAAGUGUUACAUUUCCUUGGAUCAAACCUAAGGAGGUAAAUACUUUAGAUGUCUUACUCAUCAACUUACAUUACUUGAAUUUCUUUGAAACAUUUUGCAAAGUAUUCGGACUUGUGUUUAUUCAAAAUAAACUAUAGUCCAACCGAGA